AAAUUGAAGAGUUUGAUCAUGGCUCAGAUUGAACGCUGGCGGCAGGCCUAACACAUGCAAGUCGAACGGUAACAGGAAGCAGCUUGCUGCUUCGCUGACGAGUGGCGGACGGGUGAGUAAUGUCUGGGAAGCUGCCUGAUGGAGGGGGAUGACUUCUGGAACCGGUGGCUAAUACCGCAUAACGUCGCUAGACCAAUGAGGGGGACCUUCG
rnacentral:rRNA from 1 species